AACGAACGCUGGCGGCGUGCUUAACACAUGCAAGUCGAACGCGAAAGUUUCCUUCGGGAAGCGAGUAGAGUGGCGCACGGGUGAGUAACACGUGGAUAAUCUGCCCGACGAUCUGGGAUAACAUUCCGAAAGGAGUGCUAAUACCGGAUAAGCCCACAGGCUCUUCGGAGUUUGCGGGAAAAGGUGGGGACCUUCGGGCCUACCGUCGUCGGAUGAGUCCGCGUCCCAUUAGCUAGUUGGCGGGGUAAUGGCCCACCAAGGCGACGAUGGGUAGCUGGUCUGAGAGGAUGAUCAGCCACACUGGAACUGAGACACGGUCCAGACUCCUACGGGAGGCAGCAGUGGGGAAUUUUGCGCAAUGGGGGAAACCCUGACGCAGCAACGCCGCGUGAGUGAUGAAGGCUUUCGGGUCGUAAAGCUCUGUCAGAGGGGAAGAAACUCUUGUGGUCGAACAGGCCACAGGAUUGACGGUACCCUCAAAGGAAGCACCGGCUAACUCCGUGCCAGCAGCCGCGGUAAUACGGAGGGUGCGAGCGUUGUUCGGAAUUAUUGGGCGUAAAGCGCGUGCAGGCGGCCUGUUAAGUCUGAUGUGAAAGCCCGGGGCUCAACCCCGGAAGUGCAUUGGAUACU
rnacentral:rRNA from 1 species